GGUUCCCAUACAAUCACUGAAGUUAAGCAACAUCAAGCCUGGUCAGUACUUAAAUGGGUGACCACUUGGGAAUACCUGAUUCUGUAA